rnacentral:rRNA from 1 species
ACGAUAGGUUACCUUCGGGUAACUGAAAGUGGCGCACGGGUGCGUAACGCGUAUGCAACCUACCUGGUACUGGGGGAUAGCCCGGGGAAACCCGGAUUAAUACCCCAUAGUAAUAUCUGAUGGCAUCUGAGGAUAUUUAAAGAUUUAUUGGUACCAGAUGGGCAUGCGUCUGAUUAGCUAGUUGGUAGUGUAACGGACUACCAAGGCUACGAUCAGUAGGGGGUCUGAGAGGAUGAUCCCCCACACUGGCACUGAGAUACGGGCCAGACUCCUACGGGAGGCAGCAGUAGGGAAUAUUGGUCAAUGGGCGAGAGCCUGAACCAGCCAUGCCGCGUGCAGGAUGACGGCCUUCUGGGUUGUAAACUGCUUUUAUACGGGAAGAAAAAGGCUAUGCGUAGCCAACUGACGGUACCGUAUGAAUAAGCACCGGCUAACUCCGUGCCAGCUGCCGCGGUAAUAC